rnacentral:rRNA from 1 species
UGGGGAAUAUUGGGCAAUGGGCGCAAGCCUGACCCAGCAACGCCGCGUGAGGGAAGAAGGUUUUCGGAUCGUAAACCUCUGUUGUAGGGGACGAGGAAAAGACGGUACCCUACGAGGAAGCUCCGGCUAACUACGUGCCAGCAGCCGCGGUAAUACGUAGGGAGCGAGCGUUGUCCGGAAUGACUGGGCGUAAAGGGCGCGUAGGCGGUUUUGUAAGUCUGGAGUGAAACCCCCGUUUUCAAGGCGGGGCCUGCUUUGGAGACUGCAGGACUUGAGUGAUGGAGAGGAUAGCGGAAUUCCCGGUGUAGCGGUGAAAUGCGUAGAGAUCGGGAGGAACACCAGUGGCGAAGGCGGCUAUCUGGACAUAGACUGACGCUGAGGCGCGAAAGCGUGGGGAGCAAACAGG